AGAGUUUGAUCAUGGCUCAGAUUGAACGCUGGCGGCAUGCCUUACACAUGCAAGUCGAACGGCAGCGCGGGCUUCGGCCUGGCGGCGAGUGGCGAACGGGUGAGUAAUGCAUCGGAACGUGCCCAAGAGUGGGGGAUAACUAGUCGAAAGAUUAGCUAAUACCGCAUACGAUCUAAGGAUGAAAGUGGGGGACCGCAAGGCCUCAUGCUCCUGGAGCGGCCGAUGUCUGAUUAGCUAGUUGGUGGGGUAAAAGCCUACCAAGGCGACGAUCAGUAGCUGGUCUGAGAGGACGACCAGCCACACUGGGACUGAGACACGGCCCAGACUCCUACGGGAGGCAGCAGUGGGGAAUUUUGGACAAUGGGGGAAACCCUGAUCCAGCAAUGCCGCGUGUGUGAAGAAGGCCUUCGGGUUGUAAAGCACUUUUGUCAGGAACGAAACGGUGAGGGCUAAUAUCCUUUGCUAAUGACGGUACCUGAAGAAUAAGCACC
rnacentral:rRNA from 1 species